GGAACGAAGGUGUAUUUAAAAAAAAAACUAGUUGUGUUUGUCCAAUUCAAUUCACAUUCCACAAUCAACAACAAAACAAUGUUAUUUUUUCCAGAUUGUAUUUGGAACUUCACUUUACCUUGCUUGUAUUCACACCGGAUCAAUUUAGCAGUUGCAUCACAGUGUUGAGUAAGUAUCGAUGGUAAGCACACUUCACGAUCAUAGACCUACCAUGCCGGGAGUGGGUCAAAAGCUGUUUGCGGUCUUGAAACACAACGGAGUAUCGUUUCGUGGAGUAUUGUUCCAUGGAUAUAGGUCAGAGCAAAAGAGCUGACGUUCGCUGUCUAUUUGAUGGACGUCUUUGAUACCCUACUUCUAGGUCCACAAGACUGGGCGCCACAAGGAACCUGUGCUUGUCACAGAGGUACAGGAGGUUGCAGAGCCCACAAGACCAGGACGAUGAGGAAAUAGAGAAACCAAUAAAAUUCUCCUCCAGCAAAGCCAGCC